AUGCUUGCUUUGGCAGUACAUACAUUAAAAUUAGAACAAUACAGAGAAAAUUAGCAUGGCCCCUGUGCAAGGAUGACAGGCAAAUUUGUGAAGCAUUCCAUAUUUUU
ensembl:snRNA U6 U6 spliceosomal RNA